GGAUCUGUAGUGUAGAGGAUAUCACAGAGGCCCCCGGAGCCUUUAACCCGGGUUCAAAUCCCGGCAGAUCCG
rnacentral:tRNA from 1 species